CCUACGGGCGGCAGCAGUGGGGAAUAUUGCACAAUGGGGGGAACUCUGAUGCAGCGACGCCGCGUGGGUGAAGGAGUAUUUCGGUAUGUAAAGCCCUAUCAGCAGGGAAGAACAAUGACGGUACCUGACUAAGCAGCACCGGCUAAAUACGUGCCAGCAGCCGCGGUAAUACGUAUGGUGCAAGCGUUAUCCGGAUUUACUGGGUGUAAAGGGAGCGCAGGCGGCGCGUUAAGCCUGGGGUGAAAGUCCGCGGCCCAACCGCGGGACUGCAUUGGGAACUGGCGCGCUGGAGUGCCGGAGGGGUAGGCGGAAUUCCUAGUGUAGCGGUGAAAUGCGUAGAGAUUAGGAGGAACACCAGUGGCGAAGGCAGCCUACUGGACGGUGACUGACGCUGAGGCUCGAAAGCGUGGGGAGCAAACAGGAUUAGAUACCCGAGUAGUC
rnacentral:rRNA from 1 species